rnacentral:rRNA from 1 species
CUUGUACACACCGCCCGUCUACACCAUGGGAGCGGGUUCUGCCAGAAGUAGUUAGCCUAACCGCAAGGAGGGCGAUUACCACGGCAGGGUUCGUGACUGGGGUG